AUGUUACGUCAUUACAAUAUUGACGUCAGACGAAUGGCUAGUUGGAGAAUCCGUCACAAAAUAUAAAAUGGGUUCACAACCCUAACCUAAAAAAUGGGCGUCCAUAGACUAAACACCAAACGUUAUCGAUGAACGAAAAUCAAAAUGAUACUUGGUUAAUUAUUACUUCAUUUGACAGUGACAACAAGAAACGAUAGCUUAACUAUCCACUUUUUCUAAGCACCGCGUUGAUGUUAUUAACGCAUGACGUAUUACGGUAAACUGAAUCUUAAUCUGAUUUGAUAUUAAAUAUUUUUAGAAAUGUUAAUCAAUCAACCUUAUGUUGUUCGUUCAUAGUAAAAUAUAAUUAUUAUAGAAUUAAAACUUCUUUUAUAACUGAUGUAUUACUUUUGCAGACCUCUAUGUAACCAAAAACAAUGCAUGGCAAUGUGUGUGUCUGUGUGUAAGUGCAAUAAUAUAGUUGCAAGAAUCAUUUGCCAGUCGUAACUUGUAAAAGAAUCAAUUGCAUAAGGAUUGCUUAUAAUACUUCCCGGGUCCCCAGCCAUCCCAUUUUCAAUAGGUUCCGUCACGAGGCAAAGCUGCAUAUAUGUGCCAAAUAUGAAGUCGAUUACUUCAAUUUUCGGACACUUAUCGUAUUUCAUAGCAAGGUCCAAAAAACAAUAGAAAAUUACGAAAAAAAGAUGGAUACCGGCAUCGGAUCAGGGCCAUUUCUUACAAGCUUAUGUGCCUCGUGGAGGGUUAAAAAGGAGGCGAAUUUCAAUUUUCUAGCUCCAACGGUUCGAAAGUUAUUCAGGAAAAACCAAAAGACGAGAACGGAGAACGGACAAACAGACAAACAAAAUUUUUUUUUCGACGGUGAUUAUUUCUGUACCAACGGCGAUCCCAUAGGACUUACCGUUACCGAGAUAUAAAAUUUUUAUACGAGCGCAGAUACUUUCGAAAAAUUCGAUUUCAUCGAUUUUCGAAAGUAACCAGAGCGCUUUGCUAAUACAAUCAUACCAGAUAGACGAACAUUUUCAAUUGUAUAUAGAAGGUUGACUGAAACAGAUAUUUUCUCAAAAGUUAAGACGCAAAAAUCGGCCCCCAAUUAUUCCAUUCCAUAAGAAGACACCAUGCGUACACUUACAUUAGAAAAAUUCUAUGCUAGCACUAGUUCAGUCUAGAAGUUAGACAUUGUGAUAUACGUAUUUAAACAAAUCCAGAAAAUUAUUUCUACUAUUUUUAUUAUUUCAUACCAAAUUUUGUAUACAAAUGUACCCUUAUUUGUAUAUUCCUUUUGAGUUUGGUUUUUUCUGACGUAUAAAAUAUUCGCUAAAUCUAAUUAAACGGCCGGAAGUAUAGUUAUUGUUUCCCAUAACCGAUCGACGAAAUUGCCGGUGG